CAGUGCAAUAUUGAAAAAGGGUA
rnacentral:miRNA from 1 species